GUCAAGUCAUCAUGGCCUUUAUGCCCAGGGCUACACACGUGCUACAAUGGGGCGUACAAAGGGUCGCAACAUAGCGAUAUGAAGCUAAUCCCAAAAAACGUCUCUCAGUUCGGAUCGCAGUCUGCAACUCGACUGCGUGAAGCUGGAAUCGCUAGUAAUCGUAUAUCAGCAAUGAUACGGUGAAUACGUUCCCGGACCUU
rnacentral:rRNA from 1 species